AUGGAGCAGACUUCACUAAGAAACAUGUUUCGGAACGUCGGCUCAGACGGGCAAACAAGCGCCUACACGCUGGGGGUCCGGAGCCGGGUUUGUCGCAAAACUUAUGUGACCCCGCGGAGACCCUCCGAGAAAUCCCCACUCGACCAAGAGCUGAAGCUGAUCGGCGAGCAUGGGCUCCGGAACAAACGAGAGGCCUGGAGGGUCAAGUUUACGCUGGCCACGAUCCCCAAGGCCGCCCGGGAUCUGCUGGUGGAGGACGAGAAGGACCCGGGGCGUCUGUUUGAAGGCAAUGUCCUGCUGCGGCGACUCGCGCAGUGGCGUGCUGGAUGAGGGCAAGAUGAAGCCGGAUUACAUCCUGGGCCUGAAGAUCGCGGAUUUCUUGGAGAGGCGCCUGCGGAGCUAGGUCUUCAAGCCGGCCUUGGCCAAGUCCGCCCAUCACGCUCGUGUGCUGAUCCGCCAGCGCCGUAUCAGGGUCCGCAAACAGGUUGCGAGCAUCCCGUCCUUCGUUGUCCCCCUGGAUUUCCAGAAGCACAUUGACUUCUCCCUCCGCCCUCCAUGUGGGGGUGGCCGCCCAGGCCCGUGAAGCGGAAGAACGCCAAGGGCCAGGGUGGGGCCGCAGCUGGAGAGACAAGGAGGGGGAUCAAGCCCAUCCAGGAGCCCCUCCUGGGCUGGUGGAUGGUCUAG